UACGAAGGGGGCUAGCGUUGCUCGGAAUCACUGGGCGUAAAGGGUGCGUAGGCGGGCUUUUAAGUCAGGGGUGAAAUCCUGGAGCUCAACUCCAGAACUGCCUUUGAUACUGAAGAUCUUGAGUCCGGGAGAGGUGAGUGGAACUGCGAGUGUAGAGGUGAAAUUCGUAGAUAUUCGCAAGAACACCAGUGGCGAAGGCGGCUCACUGGCCCGGUACUGACGCUGAGGCACGAAAGCGUGGGGAGCAAACAGG
rnacentral:rRNA from 1 species